AUGAGUGUGAAGGCAGCAUUCAAACUUUUUUUUUUCCCACAUUACAUCGACAUUGACGUUGACGGAGUUGCUCCUACCUGCACCAUCAACUUCUCAGCCAACAAUAGCAGCAGCUUUGGAACAGACAGCAAUAGCAAUACAAUAGAAAUUGCAACAACAGCUAAAAAAAAAAUAUGAAUAAAAAAAUUCACUACCAGUUCAAGGCUACUCUCAAUAAUACGAACAAAUCCGGUUUCAUGGAUUGCGUUCACUUAAAAAACCGUCUGGAAGGAGAGGAGGUGGGAGGGGGGUGGUGAUUAUUACAAGUGGGGUGUAUAUAAACACACUCAGGUGGACAACCCGCUCUAUCAGCACUCACCUGUUGUCUCCACCUCGACACUCUCAAGUAUGGCGUGGAACAAAUGCUACCUGCUGGUGGUGCUGGCGAUCGUGCUGGUGGUGAUGGCUGCAGCAGCGCCACAAUACCGUGGCUUCAACCAGCGUGCCAACCCACACCUCCAGGGCGGCUACAGAAGAGGCUUCGGAGGGUAUAGCCUCGACGAUAACAGUUUCGACCAUGACAGCUACGAGAUAUAUGGACGGCGUUUCAUGGGCUAGAACCAAUCUCCUUCUCAGCCUGCUGCUGCUACUGCUUCUGCCCGUAGUCCUGAUGCUCCUCUUCUUGUCCCCUCCUCCUCUUCUUCCUCCUCCUGCUUGGACUCCUACAAGGUUCAUCACCUGGACUUACAGUCACCAUCAACGUUCCAGGUUCCUGACUGGCAACUGAGGAGGACUCGACACUGCAGCCACUCAGCCACUGACAGUCACUCAGCCACUGACAGUCACUCACAGUCACUGGAAAGACCACUCAGGACCUGCUUAAAUUUUAUGCUGAUUUUAGCCAGUCCGGUUUUUAAAACUCGUGUAAAGAAAAUUCAGCACAGGAUUUCAAUAAAUUUUUUCAUUAUUAUAUA